rnacentral:tRNA from 1 species
UGGGCCGUCGUCUAAUGGUAGGACCCUGGCCUUUGACGCCAGUUGUGGAGGUUCGAAUCCCCCCGGCCCAGCCA